GACGAACGCUGGCGGCGUGCUUAACACAUGCAAGUCGAACGGAAAGGCCCUGCUUUUGUGGGGUGCUCGAGUGGCGAACGGGUGAGUAACACGUGAGUAACCUGCCCUUGACUUUGGGAUAACUUCAGGAAACUGGGGCUAAUACCGGAUAGGAGCUCCUGCUGCAUGGUGGGGGUUGGAAAGUUUCGGCGGUUAGGGAUGGACUCGCGGCUUAUCAGCUUGUUGGUGGGGUAGUGGCUUACCAAGGCUUUGACGGGUAGCCGGCCUGAGAGGGUGACCGGCCACAGUGGGACUGAGGUACGGCCCAGACUCCUACGGGAGGCAGCAGUGGGGAAUAUUGCACAAUGGGCGGAAGCCUGAUGCAGCAACGCCGCGUGCGGGAUGACGGCCUUCGGGUUGUAAACCGCUUUCGCCUGUGACGAAGCGUGAGUGACGGUAAUGGGUAAAGAAGCACCGGCUAACUACGUG
rnacentral:rRNA from 1 species